GGUUUCUCCUGAUAGAUAUGGCGAUUCACAUACUCACUUCUACACUUAUUGGACAAGAGAUGGAUACGGGAGAAGCGGGUGCCACGAUAUGGAAUGCCCUGGUUUCCAAGUAUUAGGGGGAUCAAAGUUGACUCCUGGUGCUAUUAUAAAAAGUACUUCUACUAAUGGUGGCCCUCGUCACACUAUUACAGUUAAAGUUUUUAAGGACAAGUCUAGUGAAAAAUGGUGGGUUUAUUGCGGCAUAAACGAUGAAACUCCUACAGCGGUGGGGUACUAUCCGACAGACCUAUUUACAACAUUAACCGAAAAAGCAAAUUCCAUUGCUUUUGGUGGAGAAUCAGGUGCCUCAAGAAGUUUUCCAACUCCUCCAAUGGGUAGUGGAUCACUUCCAUCCGAAAAGGCUGCAUUCAUGUCAAACCUCCAGUUUGUUGAUCGGGAUGGCCAAGCCACUCUUAUUCAAUCAGACUUACAAAUUCUUGCAGAUCAUCCAAAAUGUUAUUAUGUGUCACCGAUAAUAGGUUCAAGGUUUUCCUUUGGUGGCCCACAAGGAUGCUUUUAGCUACGUAGCUUAGCUAUAUAAUAAGUUUGUGGUGGAAUUACAAAUGUAAUAAAUCUAU